GGUUCCAUAGUCUAACGGUUAUGAUGGCGGAUUCUGAAAGAAGUUUUCCGCAGGCGAGGGUUCGACUCCCCCUGGGACCU
rnacentral:tRNA from 1 species